GGGCAUAUGGUGCAGAUGGUCAGAGCACACGUAGUAUGUACACGAGACCCGGUGUUCGACUCCCGGUGUGUCCA